rnacentral:rRNA from 1 species
AUUGAACGCUGGCGGCAGGCCUAACACAUGCAAGUCGAACGAGUGGCGGACGGGUGAGUAAUGUCUGGGAAUCUGCCUUAUGGAGGGGGAUAACUACUGGAAACUGUAGCUAAUACCGCAUACCAUCGGAUGUGCCCAGGUGGGAUUAGCUUGUUGGUGGGGUAACGGCUCACCAAGGCGACGAUCCCUAGCUGGUCUGAGAGGAUGACCAGCCACACUGGAACUGAGACACGGUCCAGACUCCUACGGGAGGCAGCAGUGGGGAAUAUUGCACAAUGGGCGCAAGCCUGAUGCAGCCAUGCCGCGUGUAUGAAGAAGGCCUUCGGGUUGUAAAGUACUUUCGGUGGGGAGGCGUUACCCGCAGAAGAAGCACCGGCUAACUCCGUGCCAGCAGCCGCGGUAAUUC